rnacentral:rRNA from 1 species
CGUAGGGUGCAAGCGUUAAUCGGAAUUACUGGGCGUAAAGCGUGCGCAGGCGGUUGUGCAAGUCUGAUGUGAAAUCCCCGGGCUUAACCUGGGAACUGCAUUGGAGACUGCACGGCUAGAGUGCGUCAGAGGGGGUGGAAUUCCGCGUGUAGCAGUGAAAUAGCGUAGAGAUGCGGAGGAACACCGAUGGCGAAGGCAGCCCCAUGGGAUGACACUGACGCUCAUGCACGAAAGCGUGGGGAGCAAACAGGAUU